UGGGCUUUUAAACCAACACCAGGGCAACAAGGCAGAGCAAAAACAGAGGAUUUCUUUCUUCAGGGAAUCUCAAUUCACAUAGGAUGCCUCCUACACAUACCUUUGGUAUGGAUAAGAAGGCCACUCCUGUGUUUGGAAAACAAUGGAAGCAAACUUUGCAGAGAGAGGUGGAGGGUGGAGGUGGAGGAAGACCUAGACCUAGACCUAGAACGAGGACAGUAAUCUCUGAUGCAAUUCAGGCUGUGGUAGACCAUGUGGUCAACCAUGGUUUGACCUUGAGAGAGGCUGGGCAGAGAGUGGAGCCCAAUCUGAGCCACUUCACCGUAGCAUCCAUCAUCCGGAAGUUCCAAAAUGAGAAUAGAACUGAAAGACAACCACCACGUGGGUGCUAGAACACGUCUAUUUACAGACGAACAGGAGGCUGCCCAUUGUGCAAAUGGUAGUUGAAAAUAAUGCCAUUAAACUGCAGGAAAUCCAACAACA